UGGAACUCCCUCAGUGAACCGGGUUAGCCA
rnacentral:piRNA from 1 species